rnacentral:pre_miRNA from 1 species
UUAGCUUAUAUUUGUAUGGAAUGGGAUCGUUUGCGUACGUUUGCCGCUAGGGGAGCUGUUCCAAAUGCAUACAAAAUUGGCUUA